rnacentral:rRNA from 1 species
AUGUCGCCCAUGCUGUCAUCAGAGUUGCUAACAAGUACUAUGAUUCUACCGAUCUCCAAUUGGUGGUACUUUUCCUUUCUUUCAUUCAGUAUUGGGAUCAGGGCGUCUUCAAUGUUACAGAAACAUGGGGUCUUAAACCAAAGAAUAGCCUCCAACAUGGGUCUUAAGCCAAAAAAUAGCCCAAGACCCACCCUCAAGCAUUAUGAGAAGAGGUCUUAA